rnacentral:tRNA from 1 species
ACCUGGGUGGCUCAGUUGGUUGAGCAUCUGACUUCAGCUCAGGUCAUGAUCUCGUGGUUUGUGAGUUCAAGCCCCACAUUGGGCU